rnacentral:rRNA from 1 species
ACGAUGAGUACUAAGUGUUGGAGAAAUUCAGUGCUGUAGUUAACGCAAUAAGUACUCCGCCUGAGUAGUACGUACGCAAGUAUGAAACUCAAAGGAAUUGACGGGACCCCGCACAAGCGGUGGAUCAUGUUGUUUAAUUCGAAGAUACGCGAAAAACCUUACCAGGUCUUGACAUCCCUUGCAAUGCUAUAGAGAUAUAGUGGAGGUUAUCAAGGAGACAGGUGGUGCAUGGUUGUCGUCAGCUCGUGUCGUGAGAUGUUGGGUUAAGUCCCGCAACGAGCGCAACCCUUAUUGCUAGUUGCCAUCAUUUAGUUGGGGACUCUAGCGAGACUGCCAGUGAUAAACUGGAGGAAGGUGGGGAUGACGUCAAAUCAUCAUGCCCCUUAUGACCUGGGCUACAAACGUGAUACAAUGGCUAUUACAGAGGGCAGCGAAGCCGCGAGGUGUAGCGAAACCCACAAAAAUAGUCUCAGUUCGGAUUGAAGUCUGCAACUCGACUUCAUGAAGCCGGAAUCGCUAGUAAUCGCAAAUCAGAAUGUUGCGGUGAAUACGUUCUCGGGGUUUGUACACACCGCCCGUCAAACCACGGAAGUUAACAAUACCCAAAGCCGGUGGCCUAACCGUAAGGAGGGAGCCGUUUAAGGUAGGGUUGAUGACUGGGGUUAAGUCGUAACAAGGUAACCAAGGGCGAA